rnacentral:rRNA from 1 species
GACGAACGCUGGCGGCGUGCCUAAUACAUGCAAGUAGAACGCACAGUUUAUACCUUAGCUUGCUACACCAUAGACUGUGAGUUGCGAACGGGUGAGUAACGCGUAGGUAACCUGCCUGGUAGCGGGGGAUAACUAUUGGAAACGAUAGCUAAUACCGCAUAAUAUUGAUUAUUGCAUGAUAAUUGAUUUAAAGAUGCUAUUUCAUCACUACCAGAUGGACCUGCGUUGUAUUAGCUAGUAGGUGAGGUAACGGCUCACCUAGGCGACGAUACAUAGCCGACCUGAGAGGGUGAUCGGCCACACUGGGACUGAGACACGGCCCAGAAUCCUACGGGAGGCAGCAGUAGGGAAUCUUCGGCAAUAGACGAAAGUCUGACCGAGCAACGCCGCGUGAGCGAAGAAGGUUUUCGGAUCGUAAAGCUCUGUUGUAAGAGAAGAACGGGUGUGAGAGUGGAAAGUUCACACUGUGACGGUAUCUUACCAGAAAGGGACGGCUAACUACGUG